AGUGAACGCUGGCGGUAUGCCUAACACAUGCAAGUCGAACGGCCACACAGUAAGAUCUUGCUCUUACGGGUGGCGAGUGGCGGACGGGUGAGGCAUACAUCGGAAUCUACUUUUUCGUGGGGGAUAACGUAGGGAAACUUCCGCUAAUACCGCAUACGACCUACGGGUUAAAGCAGGGGAUCUUCGGACCUUUCGCGAUUGAAUGAGCCGAAGUCGGAUUAGCUAGUUGGCGGGGUAAGGGCCCACCAAGGCGACGAUGCGUAGCUGGUCUGAGAGGAUGAUCAGCCACACUGGAACUGAGACACGGUCCAGACUCCUACGGGAGGCAGCAGUGGGGAAUAUUCGACAAUGGGCGCAAGCCUGAUCCAGCCAUACCGCGUGGGUGAAGAAGGCCUUCGGGUUGUAAAGCCCUUUUGUUGGGAAAGAAAAGCAGCAGGUUAAUACCCCGCUGUUCUGACGGUACCCAAAGAAUAAGCACCGGCUAACUUCGUG
rnacentral:rRNA from 1 species